GGCUUGUUGAUUAUAAUUUCAGGUCUGACCUGCCCAAUGAGGAUUUUUGAAUGGCCGCAGUAUUUUGACUGUGCUAAGGUAGCAUAAUCAUUAGUUUUUUAAUUGAAAACUGGAAUGAAAGGUUUGAUGAAAAAAUUUCUGUCUCUAGAAAAAUUUAUUAGAAUUUUAUUUUUAAGUUAAAAAGCUUAAAUAUAUAUAGAAGACGAGAAGACCCUAUAGAGUUUUAUAUUUAUAAGAAGUGAUUAUUUUUUGGAAAUUUAAGAUUUUAUUUUUUGUAAGUAUUUUAUUGGGGUGAUAGAAAAAUUAAACUAACUUUUUUUAAAAUGUAACACUGUUGUGUGAAUUUAUGAUCCUUGAAUUUAGAGUAUAAGAUUAAAUUACCUUAGGGAUAACAGCGUAAUUUUUUUAAGAGUUCUUAUCAGAAAAAAAGAUUGCGACCUCGAUGUUGGAUUAAAAUUAAUUUUUGGUGAAGAAGCUAAAAUAUUAGGUCUGUUCGACCUUUAAAAUUUUACAUGAUCUGAGUUUAAACCGGCGUGAG
rnacentral:rRNA from 1 species